rnacentral:rRNA from 1 species
UACGUAGGUGGCAAGCGUUGUCCGGAUUUACUGGGCGUAAAGAGCGCGCAGGCGGUCGUUCAAGUCGCGUGUGAAAGCCCCCGGCUCAACUGGGGAGGGUCACGCGAUACUGAUCGACUCGAAGGCAGGAGAGGGAAGUGGAAUUCCCGGUGUAGUGGUGAAAUGCGCAGAUAUCAGGAGGAACACCAAUUGCGAAGGCAGCUCGCUGGGACGUUACUGACGCUGAGACGCGAAAGCGUGGGGAGCAAACAGG